rnacentral:rRNA from 1 species
CACGUAGGGUGCGAGCGUUGUCCGGAAUUAUUGGGCGUAAAGAGCUCGUAGGCGGCUUGUCGCGUCGUUCGUGAAAACCUGCAGCUCAACUGCAGGCUUGCGGUCGAUACGGGCAGGCUGGAGUUCGGUAGGGGAGACUGGAAUUCCUGGUGUAGCGGUGAAAUGCGCAGAUAUCAGGAGGAACACCGGUGGCGAAGGCAGCUCGCUGGGACGUUACUGACACUAAGGCGCGAAAGCGUGGGGAGCGAACAGG